rnacentral:rRNA from 1 species
AGAGUUUGAUCAUGGCUCAGAUUGAACGCUGGCGGCAGGCCUAACACAUGCAAGUCGAACGGUAACAGGAAGCAGCUUGCUGCUUCGCUGACGAGUGGCGGACGGGUGAGUAAUGUCUGGGAAACUGCCUGAUGGAGGGGGAUAACUACUGGAAACGGUGGCUAAUACCGCAUAACGUCGCAAGACCAAAGAGGGGGACCUUCGGGCCUCUUGCCAUCAGAUGUGCCCAGAUGGGAUUAGCUGGUUGGUGAGGUAACGGCUCACCAAGGCGACGAUCCCUAGCUGGUCUGAGAGGAUGACCAGCCACACUGGAACUGAGACACGGUCCAGACUCCUACGGGAGGCAGCAGUGGGGAAUAUUGCACAAUGGGCGCAAGCCUGAUGCAGCCAUGCCGCGUGUAUGAAGAAGGCCUUCGGGUUGUAAAGUACUUUCAGCGGGGAGGAAGGUGUUGUGGUUAAUAACCACAGCAAUUGACGUUACCCGCAGAAGAAGCACCGGCUAACUCCGUGCCAGCAGCCGCGGUAAUACGGAGGGGUGCAAGCGUUAAUCGGAAUUACUGGGCGUAAAGCGCACGCAGGCGGUCUGUCAAGUCGGAUGUGAAAUCCCCGGGCUCAACCUGGGAACUGCAUUCGAAACUGGCAGGCUUGAGUCUUGUAGAGGGGGGUAGAAUUCCAGGUGUAGCGGUGAAAUGCGUAGAGAUCUGGAGGAAUACCGGUGGCGAAGGCGGCCCCCUGGACAAAGACUGACGCUCAGGUGCGAAAGCGUGGGGAGCAAACAGGAUUAGAUACCCUGGUAGUCCACGCCGUAAACGAUGUCUACUUGGAGGUUGUGCCCUUGAGGCGUGGCUUCCGGAGCUAACGCGUUAAGUAGACCGCCUGGGGAGUACGGCCGCAAGGUUAAAACUCAAAUGAAUUGACGGGGGCCCGCACAAGCGGUGGAGCAUGUGGUUUAAUUCGAUGCAACGCGAAGAACCUUACCUGGUCUUGACAUCCACGGAAGUUUUCAGAGAUGAGAAUGUGCCUUCGGGAACCGUGAGACAGGUGCUGCAUGGCUGUCGUCAGCUCGUGUUGUGAAAUGUUGGGUUAAGUCCCGCAACGAGCGCAACCCUUAUCCUUUGUUGCCAGCGGUCCCGGCCGGGAACUCAAAGGAGACUGCCAGUGAUAAACUGGAGGAAGGUGGGGAUGACGUCAAGUCAUCAUGGCCCUUACGACCAGGGCUACACACGUGCUACAAUGGCGCAUACAAAGAGAAGCGAUCUCGCGAGAGCAAGCGGACCUCAUAAAGUGCGUCGUAGUCCGGAUUGGAGUCUGCAACUCGACUCCAUGAAGUCGGAAUCGCUAGUAAUCGUGGAUCAGAAUGCCACGGUGAAUACGUUCCCGGGCCUUGUACACACCGCCCGUCACACCAUGGGAGUGGGUUGCAAAAGAAGUAGGUAGCUUAACCUUCGGGAGGGCGCUUACCACUUUGUGAUUCAUGACUGGGGUGAAGUCGUAACAAGGUAACCGUAGGGGAACCUGCGGUUGGAUCACCU